GAAGGUUUGUGUUCAACAUGUUUAAAGUAUCACAAUGCUUCGAAACUGUUGAAAAACUACGAGACCAUCUCUGUCAAUAACUACAGGAAGCUUUCGUCUUUUGUCGCUAGUGUGCAUCAGUGCUGUUCCGAGCAUGAUAAAAAAUACCAGCUUUACUGUUGACAACACGAAAGUCUAUGUUAUCCCCUUUGUUUAACAACCAACUACAAAAAAUGCGACUUAGAGUCACUAGAUGAAAUUGUUAAAAUUUCUAAAACAUCCGAAUUCUUUGAUGAUGUGAAACAAAGUCUGAACGACAUAAAGAAUAAUUUGAAAAGAAUUAUAGCUGACCGAGAUAACAAUUUAACAAAAGUACAACAGCAAAAAAUGAAAAUACAGUCUGAAAUACUGACGAUGCGCGAAUAAAUAAAUCAACAUCUAGAUACUGUCAAACAAAAGAUAUUACAGGAAUUGGAUGAUUUGGAAAAGAAAGUUUGUUCAGAGAUACGUUGUAUUCGUACAAAACUUCUCAAUCACACGAAAAUCGUAGAAGAGCUAGAUAUAAAUGUUUCUGCUAUUAUAAAGAACCAUGCAUCUGAUCUACAAAUUUUUGUUGGAAUGAAGAAGGUUGAGAGUGAUAUAAAUGAUGCAGAAAAGUUUAUGAUGUCAUUGAUGGAAAAUGGAAGUCUACAACAGGUUGAUCUCGACUUUGAA
rnacentral:lncRNA from 1 species